rnacentral:rRNA from 1 species
GACGUAGGGGCCAGCGUUGCUCGGAAUUACUGGGCGUAAAGGGUCCGUAGGCGGUGCGGUAAGUCGGGAGUGAAAUCUCUGGGCUUAACUCAGAGGCUGCUUCCGAAACUACCGUGCUAGAGUGCGAGAGAGGCAAGUGGAAUUGCGGGUGUAGCGGUGAAAUGCGUAGAUAUCCGCAGGAACAUCCGAGGCGAAAGCGGCUUGCUGGAUCGCAACUGACGCUGAGGGACGAAAGCUAGGGGAGCAAACAGG